rnacentral:misc_RNA from 1 species
GAUGAAGAACGUAGCGAAAUGCGAUACGUAAUGUGAAUUGCAGAAUUCAGUGAAUCAUCGAAUCUUUGAACGCACAUUGCGCCCGCCAGUAUUCUGGCGGGCAUGCCUGUUCGAGCGUCAUUUCAACCAUCAAGCCCCCCGGCUUGUGUUGGGGACCUGCGGCUGCCGCAGGCCCUGAAAACCAGUGGCGGGCUCGCUAGUCACUCCGAGCGUAGUAAUACAUCUCGCUCAGGGCGUGCUGCGGGUUCCGGCCGUUAAAAGCCUUAUUUACCCAAGGUUGACCUCGGAUCAGGUAGGAAGACCCGCUGAACUUAAGCAUAUCAAUAAGCGGAGGA